AAGCGGUGGAGUAUGUUGGUUUAAUUCGAUGCAACGCGAAGAACCUUACCUGGUCUUGACAUCCCGGAGACCCUUAGGAACUAGGGGUGCUUCCAUCUGGAAGAAUCUGGAGACAGGUGCUGCAUGGCUGUCGUCAGCUCGUGUCGUGAGAUGUUGGGUUAAGUCCCGCAACGAGCGCAACCCUUGCCUUUAGUUGCCAGCAGUUCGGCUGGGCACUCUAAAGGGACUGCCGGUGUUAAACCGGAGGAAGGUGGGGAUGACGUCAAGUCCUCAUGGCCUUUAUGACCAGGGCUACACACGUACUACAAUGGCCGAUACAAAGGGCAGCGACACUGCGAGGUGAAGCCAAUCCCGUAAAAUCGGUCUCAGUCCGGAUUGGAGUCUGCAACUCGACUCCAUGAAGUUGGAAUCGCUAGUAAUCGUGGAUCAGCAUGCCACGGUGAAUACGUUCCCGGGCCUU
rnacentral:rRNA from 1 species